AGACGCUGGCGGCGUGCCUAACACAUGCAAGUCGAGCGAGGAGAUUCCUUCGGGAUGAUCCUAGCGGCGGACGGGUGAGUAACACGUGGGCAACCUGCCUCAUAGAGAGGAAUAGCCUUCCGAAAGGGAGAUUAAUACCUCAUAACAUUGCAGUUUCGCAUGGAACAGCAAUUAAAGGAGCAAUCCGCUAUGAGAUGGGCCCGCGGCGCAUUAGCUAGUUGGUGAGGUAACGGCUCACCAAGGCGACGAUGCGUAGCCGACCUGAGAGGGUGAUCGGCCACAUUGGGACUGAGACACGGCCCAGACUCCUACGGGAGGCAGCAGGUGGGGAAUAUUGCACAAUGGGGGAAACCCUGAUGCCAGCAACGCCGCGUGAGUGAUGACGGCCUUCGGGUUGUAAAGCUCUGUCUUCAGGGACGAUAAUGACGGUACCUGAGGAGGAAGCCACGGCUAACUACGUGCCAGCCGCGGC
rnacentral:rRNA from 1 species